AUUACAAUUAUUAGCCAAUAUAAUAUUGUCAUUAAAUAAAUUAGGUCAUCAUUUGUGAUUUGUUAAUUUUGAUUGUAACAUCCUAAUGUUUGAUGCUUGAGUAAUUUGUUAUAUUUUAGAACUAAAAUUCGAAGUAUGAUUGUAAGAUUAUAGUUAGGUUAAAUUCUAGUUUUCAUAAGGAUUCAAAUGUGGUGGGCAGUUGAGUUGUAUUCGCAACGUAGCUGGAGUACACCUAUGUCACUAAAAGCUAAUAUGGCAUUGGAGAUUUUGUCUAUAUGGCACAUAAUGACUAAAUAAAUGUUGCAGAAUUUAUUUAUGCAUCUGUGAUGCUAGUUGAGUAGCUCAUUAUGGUUAGAUAACAACCCAUAACACAUAAUGGUUAUAUCGCUGACAAUGAUGAUUAGCUAACUACUGUGGUAGUUAUUUAGGUGCUUAAAUCAUUGAUGAAGUUAUUCCAUAUGUGGGCAAGGUAGUUGAGGUUUUGGGAAAUACUUUACAAUCUUAUAUUACAUUAAACAAAAUUUAGU
rnacentral:lncRNA from 1 species